CAUUUUUAAUUACUUUAUUGCUUUCUAUAGUAUGAAAAAACAGGCAUACUCGUUUUGCCAAAAACAGGGUUUUCUGUCACCUCCAAACUAUCCUGACAUUUUCCUUUUACUAUACAAUGAUGUAAACAAUAAGAAAGGUUUUUAGAAAAGUGCAAAGGUAUUACACUUCUCCAGAGGAAUUUACAAACCUAAAGCUAUAUUUUGACAACACAAUCAAUAGCAUUGACUAUUAACUCUCCGAUUGUAAGGUUUGCAGUGUACACAACCUUGGAAAAUCAAAUGGAAGAACAAUGCCCAGAACUCAGAAGAUCCUCAAGGGUUAGAUUAUAUCCAUCAUUUUGCUAUAUAACAUUAUAUGGCCACCUGACUAGUUAAGAUUAUGACCUGGAGAUCCAUAAUUUGACCAUUCCUGGAAUAGGACGUCCAACUGAAAAAAUAUUUGUUUUAUUUUAGACAACUGGUAAGACUAAAGGGUUAAAAAUUAAAAAUUGUAAAACAAAUUUAAAUUAGAUGGUAAAAAUCAAUUGCUGUAAUAGAAUAACAUUAGUAAUAUGAACAAAUGAUCAAAAAAAAAUAGUGCAAUAGCGUGGACAGACAUAUACGCAAAAAAAUAUGAAUGCUUACAAACUGAGAUGAGAAAAAUACUGAGAAAUAUUAAAAAGAUGAAUAGUGCAAUAUUGUCUUAAUACUGAGAAAACAUAGUUUAUUAUAGCAAGUGAAUUUGAGAGAGUUAAAAUACAAUAGACAAUUGGACUAUAUUAUAAAAGAACUGCAGCUUCGUUCAUAUAUCCUCCAAUUCUAAUAAAUGGUAUUCAAUACACUGAUUAUCCUCAAAGCAGAAUAGACAAGAUGUCUAUUCACUAAACUGUGUAUCAUGGUGAGUUGACUUCAGACUUGCAAUCUGUAAACCAAAGUUAUCAUGCUUUGAUAUCCAUGAACUAAAAAGUGUGUUACAGGGAGUUGACAAAUGACCUGCAAAUCCUAAAUACAAGUAUAAAUAUUUACACACAAAAAUUGACCAUGGAAGGUCAACAUUCAUUUCCUCCAGUCACCUAACAGUUACUCUGGAAUUAACUGAAGGAAUAAAACAUAUUUUUAUUCUUGCUUAAAAAAUCUGGGGAACAGAUAGAAAAAGAGGAAAUAUCACUUAGUGAGAGACAGGAUAAUAACAGAUAAAAUGUAUAUUAACUAAAGGGCAGAGGAUGAAAGAAGGGGUCAGAAAUGACAACGGAUCUAUGGAUAUAGUCUUAUUUGAGGGGGAGAUGGUUAGAGGUUAUUUAUCGUAGGAGAGGCAUUGGGAAUAAAAAUGGGGGCAAGGAAAAUGAAAUGGCAGGCUGCAGUAAAGCAUAGAGGGAAUAUUGAGUACUGUUUUUUAUGCAAUUCUCUAAAUUGAGUGUCUGCUCGUGUCUGGAGUGUCCCUUUGCAAGUUAUGUAACUUAAAUAGGGUGGAGAAGGAUUUUAUAGUUUCAGGGUUCACCCCUAAACUUAGCUUUUGCUAAAAUGCUUUUGUUUGUUCUCCAGAGGAAACUGUGGUUACUCUCCUUUACCACAGCUUAACUGGAGAUUUCCACUGUUUGUCUUGUUCAAUAAUUGUGCUUACCUCACACUAAUAUGUUAUUGGAGCCAGUAUUAUGACUGUACACAUUUAUAAUUUUAUUCAACUAACAAGUCACUGAGGGUAUAGGACAUGAAACAGAACAACUGGAAUAUCAGUAACUUCCAAUAGUUUAAGUAGUGCACUAUUGUUUUUGUCUCGAAAAAAUAAAUAAAUAUGUGUAAUAUUAUUGAGUGAAAGUCAUGUGUGCCCAGGACAUACUUGAAAAUGAGAGAAAUCUCAAUGGAUCUUUCCUGGUAAAAUAUUUUAUAAAUAAAUAAAUGUUAAAAUGUGUUAAUCUGUAGCUAAGAAAUUUAUAUACUGUAGAAUGCAAACCAUUGCUGCUUAAUGGUAAUGAUAAGAUAGGUAGUUUAAAACCAGCUAAUAAAUAAAAUAAAUGUGCAAGAAUACUCUUCAUUUCUAAUAUCGCUGGUACAACACAUUUAAAGGCAUUAUCUUCUACAUGGUCAAUUAAGCAUGCACAGAUUUCUAUUAAAAUGAUUUGAUGAAUCAUAAUGAUCAUCAAAAUAAUUAAAGAUGAUUCAUAUUAGAGAUCUGUGCAAUAUAUAUAUUAUAUAAAUAUAAGCUAAGCAAAGCUCAUGCCCUUCCAUAAUACAGUAGGCCAAAUAAUCCCUUUCCUGACAAUAAGACAUGGAAGAUACUAUCCUAAAUAUUAUUUUACUCAGAUAUAUUUGCAUGAAUCUUCUCCGCAGCAUAGCUCUUAGCUCUGUGUUUUAAAUAGAUUAUAUAUUUUUUGUGUCCUUGCUCGUGUUUCUUAGUACUGAAUCCUAUCUUAUGUCUGCAUUAUAUUUCUCUUUCCUUGUUUAAGAUUUAGUAACUGCACUAUAACUUUACAGUCUACAGGAAACUCAAAGACUGCUGACUGUAAAUAUUUUCCAAAGACUAAGCGUUACCUACAUAUCUUCAGUCUUUGAACAACUUUUAAUUAAAGGAUUACUCAGGGCAUCACACCCACUACAGCCUGUAGUCAGAAAUUCCCUGGUACAAUCUCAUGAUUUUGGCACAUUCUGACAACUUACUUGGGUCCCUUCACAUGCUCAUGUCAAAUCCAGUCUCAUCCAGCAAGAGAAACCAGAGGUUUCUGUAGAGGAAAUAACCACUAAUGCAGGACUGUUUUAGGUGCCUGAGAGAGCUCGGUAGACUUGAGAAUGGCAGAAAAAUGUGGUUUGCCCGAUCAAUUUUUUCAGUAAAAAAAAAAAAAAUUGGUUUAGUAAUAAAUAAUUUUGGCCAUGCUUCAUUUUGGUUUGGGCAUUUUUUCAAAGUAAUCGUUUCAAGAAAAAUUAUUUGGAUGAACUGAAUUGGUGCGUAAAUGCACCUAUUAGUGUACUAAAAAAAUGGCCUCUUUUCCAUUCCCUCCCCUUUUUCUUGGCGCCACAGAUAGAACUCCAGAUCACAAAACAAACAAUUACCCAUUUCAUUCAUGAUUUAGCCAUAUGGCGAUUCUGAGUUGCGUAAUUCGGAUAAAUUGCCAUGUGGGUGAAAUCAAAAUCACAAAUUUAGAGCUCAGAUGAUACUCUCAGACCCUGAGCACAUUCCUGCAUGACAUUGCUUUGUUCAAAGAAAAAUGCCCAGAUGUAGUUUGACAUAUUACCAAAGGACAGCACCAGGGAACAACUGGUACCAUAAUCACUACAGUGGACCGUAUUGUUUAUGGUGCUUGGAGUGUUGCCUUGAAGUCUGAUAAUAUUUUUUGAGUGGUCCAGAAAUAAAAAAGAAGUAUAUUAAAAAAAAUCUACAAGUAUACAUUGAUGUUACUACUGUAUAACUUUUCUUUCAAUAUAAAUUGUAGUUUUUUUAUUUU
rnacentral:lncRNA from 1 species